CAGCCGCCGCGGUAAUACGGAGGGUGCAAGCGUUAAUCGGAAUUACUGGGCGUAAAGCGCACGCAGGCGGUUUGUUAAGUCAGAUGUGAAAUCCCCGAGCUUAACUUGGGAACUGCAUUUGAAACUGGCAAGCUAGAGUCUUGUAGAGGGGGGUAGAAUUCCAGGUGUAGCAGUGAAAUGCGUAGAGAUCUGGAGGAAUACCGGUGGCGAAGGCGGCCCCCUGGACAAAGACUGACGCUCAGGUGCGAAAGCGUGGGGAGCAAACAGGAUUAGAUACCCCAGUAGUCCCUGUCUCUUAUAC
rnacentral:rRNA from 1 species